rnacentral:rRNA from 1 species
UACGUAGGCCUCAAGCGUUAUCCGGAUUUACUGGGCGUAAAGGGUGCGUAGGCGGUUUAUCGCAUCUUUGGUUAAAGACCCAAGCUCAACUUGGGGAACGCCAAAGAGAUGGGUAAACUAGAGAAUACCAGGGGUGGCUGGAACUGCCGGUGUAGGGGUGAAAUCCGUUGAUAUCGGCAGGAACGCCGGAGGUGAAGACGAGCCACUGGGGUAUUUCUGACGCUGAGGCACGAAAGCGUGGGGAGCAAAAAGG